rnacentral:lncRNA from 1 species
CGGCGGUGAUGUGAUCGAUGGCGGAGGCCGCGGUUCGGGCGUCGACGGCGUUGAGGACGUGGAGAGGGCUCUCGAUGAAGGAAGAGGGAGAGUUGAGAUUGUAGUGCUGAACGGGAACCCUAGCACCCAUCUUAGGAAAUGAAGUUGAGCAAGAGGCUGUUAAUGGAAUUCGCGAUUCAGCCAAAGUCGAUGGGUUGCCCGUGGUGGUGGUUCUUGAAAGUGUCACUGCAGAAGAAGGGUUUGGAAGAGAGAGAAAGCAUGGUGAAAGGAAGGGAGAGAGAAAAUGUUAACGGCUAUCCAGAGAUAGUAGAAGAAGGGGGAAAAAGGGGAAAAAGAGGAAGAGUCCAAACCUGAGGGUGACACCGUACCUGAGGUUUCCGGUGCUCGAAGCAGUUCCCAAACCUGACU